UGUGUGUUGUUUUUGCAGGUGAUGACAGGGCACGAGGUGCUUGAAGGAACCUUGUGUUUAGGUGACAUGGCUGCUAUGGAGGUUGGACUGUGACAUGUGGCACUGUGAAAGCUAAGUAUCGGGUUGAAAAUGCACGGAUGGUGGAGAUGAUGGUGUGGAAGUGGACAGUCUGUCAAGAUGAGCAGAGCUCACUCGUUUUCAGCUUGGGAACAGGGAUCGUGGAAGUAACGUCACCUCGGGGAGGAAAACCUCUGGACGUGAAGCGACAGAUGUAAUGGGAGCGAGGAAUGUGGAAAAGACCACUCCGUAGAGAAUUGCAGGCACUAUAUAGUGGCAAUUCUUCUUAAGGUAAUGCUAAAGUUUUGGAGUUUAAAUGUAUUUGUAAAAAUAAUGAUUAAAAGAGGAGUGAAACUAAUAGUGGCAAAUA